rnacentral:rRNA from 1 species
CCUACGGGAGGCAGCAGUGGGGAAUUUUGGACAAUGGGCGAAAGCCUGAUCCAGCCAUGCCGCGUGCAGGAUGAAGGCCUUCGGGUUGUAAACUGCUUUUGUACGGAACGAAAAGGUCUUUUCUAAUAAAGAAGGCUCAUGACGGUACCGUAAGAAUAAGCACCGGCUAACUACGUGCCAGCAGCCGCGGUAAUACGUAGGGUGCGAGCGUUAAUCGGAAUUACUGGGCGUAAAGCGUGCGCAGGCGGUUAUAUAAGACAGUUGUGAAAUCCCCGGGCUCAACCUGGGAACUGCAUCUGUGACUGUAUAGCUAGAGUACGGUAGAGGGGGAUGGAAUUCCGCGUGUAGCAGUGAAAUGCGUAGAUAUGCGGAGGAACACCGAUGGCGAAGGCAAUCCCCUGGACCUGUACUGACGCUCAUGCACGAAAGCGUGGGGAGCAAACAGGAUUAGAUACCCUGGUAGUCCACGCCCUAAACGAUGUCAACUGGUUNUUGGGUCUUCACUGACUCAGUAACGAAGCUAACGCGUGAAGUUGACCGCCUGGGGAGUACGGCCGCAAAGGUUGAAACGUCAAAAUAGAGUAGACGCGUGAGAGUAGCGACGGACGACGACGAGGGAGGAGG